GUCAGCGGUGAUAAGCAAGUUGAAUGUACCAGUUCCCUAUGUAUCACAGAAGUAAAGCAACGUUAUGCGUGGUUAGUAUUCAGACAGGUGACCAUCUGGACAAUCGCAUUCUUCUGGCU
rfam:Asian citrus Psyllid, Diaphorina citri - Florida Strain, whole genome shotgun sequence.